ACAUAAAUACAGCAUUGGUGUAUGCGGCAUGGCCGCGCACUUGAAGGCGAAAAUCGUUUUGGACGGGGGUUCGAUUCCCCCCACCUCCACCAAAUGCGGGAAGGGGCGCUCGGCUGCCUUCCUCCAUCUGAAGGGGGUGACCUGGUUUCGACAGGGCGACAAGUAUCCGGAGACACACCACGUCAGGCGACCGACGUAAAUAGCGCAAAUCCAUAAUUGCAAAUGAACCGCAAUUCGUUGCUUACGGCACCUAAUAGUCGUUAAGCCGAGUAUCCGGCCCCUUCGCAAGAAGGCUUGGGAACAGAAAGGCCGGACGUCUCUAUCGUUAGCAGCGA
rnacentral:tmRNA from 1 species